rnacentral:rRNA from 1 species
CCAGACUCCUACGGGAGGCAGCAGUAGGGAAUCUUCCGCAAUGGACGAAAGUCUGACGGAGCAACGCCGCGUGAGUGAUGAAGGUUUUCGGAUCGUAAAGCUCUGUUGUUAGGGAAGAACAAGUGCAAGAGUAACUGCUUGCACCUUGACGGUACCUAACCAGAAAGCCACGGCUAACUACGUGCCAGCAGCCGCGGUAAUACGUAGGUGGCAGCGUUGUCCGGAAUUAUUGGGCGUAAAGGGCUCGCAGGCGGUUUCUUAAGUCUGAUGUGAAAGCCCCCGGCUCAACCGGGGAGGGUCAUUGGAAACUGGGAAACUUGAGUGCAGAAGAGGAGAGUGGAAUUCCACGUGUAGCGGUGAAAUGCGUAGAGAUGUGGAGGAACACCAGUGGCGAAGGCGACUCUCUGGUCUGUAACUGACGCUGAGGAGCGAAAGCGUGGGGAGCGAACAGGAUUAGAUACCCUGGUAGUCCACGCCGUAAACGAUGAGUGCUAAGUGUUAGGGGGUUUCCGCCCCUUAGUGCUGCAGCUAACGCAUUAAGCACUCCGCCUGGGGAGUACGGUCGCAAGACUGAAACUCAAAGGAAUUGACGGGGGCCCGCACAAGCGGUGGAGCAUGUGGUUUAAUUCGAAGCAACGCGAAGAACCUUACCAGGUCUUGACAUCCUCUGACAACCCUAGAGAUAGGGCUUUCCCUUCGGGGACAGAGUG